CCCUUAGAUGUUCUGGGCAGCACGCGCGCUACAAUGGUCUUCGCAAACGGAUGCAUUCUCGAAGGAGAAUGCCAAUCUUGGAAUCUAUGCCUUGGUCGGGACAGUUGCUUGCAAUUUUUCAACUCGAACGAGGAAUUCCUUGUAAUUGUAAUUCAUUAUAUUGUAAUGAAUACGUCCCUGCCCUUUGUACACACCGCCCGUCGCUCCUACCGAUUGAACGAUCCGGUGAAUUAUUUGGAGUAGCUCUGGAAGUUGCAGAACUUCCUAUGUCACGAAAUUUUGUAAACCUUAUCGUUUAGAGGAAGGAAAAGUCGUAACA
rnacentral:rRNA from 1 species